rnacentral:tRNA from 1 species
GGGGCGUCCGCUGGCGCGGCGUCGGCGAUUUGAGACCCUCGACGGCGGGUUCGAUUCCCGCACGCUCCACCA